GAUCAUGGCUCAGGAUGAACGCUAGCUACAGGCUUAACACAUGCAAGUCGAGGGGCAUCAGUUUGGUUUGCUUGCAAACCAAAGCUGGCGACCGGCGCACGGGUGAGUAACACGUAUCCAACCUGCCUCAUACUCGGGGAUAGCCUUUCGAAAGAAAGAUUAAUAUCCGAUAGCAUAUAUUUCCCGCAUGGGUUUUAUUAUUAAAGAAAUUACGGUAUAAGAUGGGGAGUGCGUUCCUAUUAGUUUUGG
rnacentral:rRNA from 1 species